GUUAAAUAACUCUACUCUGGGCAUGUCUACAUUGGCAGAGUUACAGCAUCGGGAGUUACCGCGCUGCUCAGAGAGCGCUGAAGGGAAACCGCUGUUGUGUGUUCACACUGUCAGCUGCCUGCGCAAUAGCAUAUUCACACUUGCGGCAUUUGCAGUGGUAUUCGGAGCGGUGCACUCUGGGCAGCUAUCCCACAGAGCACCUCUUUCUCUUCUGCCGCUAAAACUUGUGGGAAGGCGGAGGGGAUCAUGGGAGA